GAAAGAUGGGAGAAAAUAGUGGCCAGCGAUGGACAAUACUUUGAAUCAUAAAUGUAUAACCAGUUUUUUACAAUAAAGCCUCGAAUUUCGGAAAAAAACGGCGUAAGCAAAGUUGUACACCUAAUAAAAAAAUGACAUAUGCGGGAAGCUUUGCUUUUCUGUUUCAAUUUGAAGAAAUCGGCUGCCGAAUCGCAUCGAAUGCUUGUGGAGGCCUAUGGCGAUAAUGCUUUAUCGGAAACAACGUACAAGAUUGGUUUCGCCGAUUCAAUGACGACAAUUUUAACCUGAGUGACAAGAAGCAUGAAAAUCGGCUCAGGAGGUUGAGGACUAUCAAUUGCAGGCUUUUUUGGACGAAGACGAUACCCAAUUGCAAAAAAUGCUUGCCGAGCAAUUGAGUGUUUCUCAAGCAGCCAUUUCCAUGCGGUUACAUGCCAUGGGGAAGGUUCAAAAGAUCGAAAAAUGGGUGCCGCAUGAACUGAACAAUAGGCAGAUGGAGCGACGCCAAAACACAUGCCAAUUUCUGCUUGCUAAAC